UUUUGUCUUUAGAGAAUUGUGGAUUUCCUAAUAUCCUAUUAGAUAUUCAAUGUUUUUUUGUCUUUGAGUAGAUAGUGGAGUCUCAGCCCCAAACAGGUGGAGAAUAAAAUAACUAAGUGUGUUAGUUCUAAUACAGCUAGCUACUGAAAAACUCUGUUUUUAAAGUGGUUACAUCGUUCUUCUUCAUUAGAUGUUGUGUAAGGAACUUGGUUGUUGUUAUUGAUAUGAACACUGUAGCUUUUCUGCAUUCGGGAAUGUGUUAACCUAGUGAUUGUUAUUGCUUGGCACUUAGUUAUAUGAACAUCCUUACUGUGCCCAGAGAUAUAUUGUUGAUUCUCUUUCUUCUGAAAAAUGUAUUUAUUGUAAAUCGCACUGGAUAAAAAUGUCUGCUAAACGUAUGUAGCGUUUGGUAGAGGGGUCUAAACGUUGACUAAACGUGAUGUGAUUGGCUGAUCAGGACGACUUCCUGCCGGCCCUCUCAGUGCGGGGCGCUGCGGUCACAAGGUGGGACUUGUUGCGUUACGCCCCAUGUCACACGUCUCCCCCGAGCACCAGCGGGAAGUCCCGGCGAGAGACCGUACGGCCCUGAGCAGUGCGAUGUCCUCCGCACACGUAGAGAUAUGUAGAGUGGUCGAGAGAUCCGAGAAUAAAAUGACUCAACAAGGCUUUGAGUAGUGAUGCAGAGUAUAACGAAAGGGUGGGUUAUGCAGAAGUGUGAACUCCGAUAUACCGGGGGGUGGGUGUGUGUGGGUGUGUGGGACUGACUUUUAGUAGAUAUGUGUUCACUGAUGUUGCUAAGGAAAUGUAUGUUUCCUUCUCUUCUGUGGAAAAUAAAACGCAUCGUGCACUGAUAUCCUCUUCAGGUCUUCUGUGAUUUAUGUUGUUAUUAAAGGAGCAUUUCACCGGUGGAGGCAUGAAUAUGUAUUGAAAUUGUGUCCUAUAUGUAGUCGAAUAAUAAAAUAAAAUUCUAA